rnacentral:rRNA from 1 species
UACGUAGGGCGCGAGCGUUGUCCGGAAUUAUUGGGCGUAAAGAGCUCGUAGGCGGCCUGUUGCGUCCGCUGUGAAAGCCCGAGGCUUAACCCCGGGUCGGCAGUGGAUACGGGCAGGCUAGAGGUAGGUAGGGGAGAAUGGAAUUCCCGGUGUAGCGGUGAAAUGCGCAGAUAUCGGGAGGAACACCGGUGGCGAAGGCGGUUCUCUGGGCCUUACCUGACGCUGAGGAGCGAAAGCGUGGGGAGCGAACAGG